AUUCGUCAUCAAGCACUAAAGAUAUUUAUAAGUCUGCAUGUGCAAACAUAGACAAUUUUAUAUCGUCUAUAAACAAAAGUCAACCAAGAGAUAUCGUUCAGAAUUGACUGAUGAACGACAACUCGGAUUAGAUAUUGGAUUUAGGACAAGGACAUCCUCCCAUUUCAUAUAUAUUCGGUGAACCUGAAAAAUCUUGAUAAAAGAAAAGGCGAGCAGAGAAAUUAAGAAUGAAGAAUCAACAAAGGCAAACUGAAGCUGCCAAAAGAGACAGAUCUGUAAGAAAUGGGAUGGAACCAAGAAAAACGUAUAACUUUCGGAAAAGGAAGUAUGAGUGUGAACAACACGGACAAGAUGAAAGACCAACAAAAAUCCCAAAUCCUAAAAAGAGACGAAUCCAGAGAGAGGAUAAUGAGGAAAAGACAGACAGAAGUAGAAGAACACCUUCGG